rfam:Oryza glumipatula chromosome 6, whole genome shotgun sequence.
AAAAAAACAAACUCUGGGUUUCCGUGUCCAACGUUUGACCUUCCAUCUUAUUUGAAAAAAUUAUGAAAAAAUUUAAAAAUACAAGUCACGCAUAAAGUAUUAAUCAUGUUUUAUCAUCUAACAAGAAUGAAAAUAUUAAUUAUAAAAAAAUUUUAUAUAAGACGGACAGUCAAACGUUGGAUACGAAAACUCAUGGUUUGUCUUUUU